rnacentral:rRNA from 1 species
GCUGGCGGCGUGCUUAAUACAUGCAAGUCGAACGAGAGCGACCGGUGCUUGCACUGGUCAAUCUAGUGGCGAACGGGUGAGUAACACGUGGGUAACCUGCCCAUCAGAGGGGGAUAACAUCCGGAAACGGAUGCUAAAACCGCAUAGGUCUUCGAACCGCAUGGUUUGAAGAGGAAAAGAGGCGCAAGCUUCUGCUGAUGGAUGGACCCGCGGUGCAUUAGCUAGUUGGUGAGGUAACGGCUCACCAAGGCCGUGAUGCAUAGCCGACCUGAGAGGGUGAUCGGCCACAUUAGGACUGAGACACGGCCCAAACUCCUACGGGAGGCAGCAGUAGGGAAUCUUCCGCAAUGGACGCAAGUCUGACGGAGCAACGCCGCGUGAGUGAAGAAGGUUUUCGGAUUGUAAAACUCUGUUGUUAGAGAAGAACAAGUGCUAGAGUA